rnacentral:lncRNA from 1 species
CUACUGAUGUUAGUACUGCUACUGAUGUUAGUACCGCUACUGAUGUUAGUACUGUUGUUAGUACUGCUACUGAUGUUAGUACUGUUGCUUGUACUGCUACUGAUGCUAGUACUGCUACUGAUGUUAGUACUGCUGCUGAUGUUAGUACUGUUGCUUGUACUGCUACUGAUGCUACUGCUACUGAUGCUACUGAUGCUAGUACCGCUACUGAUGCUAGUACCGCUACUGAUGCUAGUACUGAUACUGAUGCUAGUACUGAUACUGAUGCUAGUACUGCUACUGAUGUUAGUACUGCUACUGAUGUUAGUACCGCUACUGAUGUUAGUACUGUUGCUAGUACUGCUACUGAUGUUAGUACUGCUACUGAUGCUAGUACUGUUGCUAGUACUGCUACUGAUGUUAGUACUGUUGCUUGUUCUGCGACUGAUGCUAGUACUGCUACUGUUGCUAGUACUGCUACUGAUGUUAGUACUGCUACUGUUGCUAGUACCGCUACUGAUGCUAGUACUGCUACUGAUGCUAGUACCGCUACUGAUGCUAGUACUGCUACUGAUGCUAGUAUUGUUACUGAUGCUAGUACUGUUGCUUGUACUGCUACUGAUGCUAGUACUGCUACUGAUGUUAGUACUGCUACUGAUGUUAGUACUGCUGCUGAUGUUAGUACUGCUGCUGAUGUUAGUACUGCUACUGAUGCUAGUACUGCUACUGAUGUUAGUACUGUUGCUAGUACUGCUACUGAUGCUACUGCUACUAAUGCUACUGAUGCUAGCACUGCUACUGAUGCUAGUAUUGUUACUGAUGCUAGUACUGCUACUGAUGCUAGUACUGCUACUGAUGUUAGUACUGCUACUGAUGUUAGUACUGCUACUGAUGCUAGUACUGUUGCUAGUACUGCUACUGAUGCUAGUACUGCUCUGAUGUUAGUACUGCUGCUGAUGUUAGUACUGUUGCUUGUACUGCUACUGAUGCUAGUACUGCUACUGAUGUUAGUACUGCUGCUGAUGCUAGUACUGCUACUGAUGUUAGUACUGCUGCUGAUGUUAGUACUGCUACUGUUGCUAGUACUGCUACUGUUGCUAGUACUGCUACUGAUGCUAGUACUGUUGCUUGUACUGCUACUGAUGCUAGUACUGCUACUGAUGCUAGUACUGCUACUGAUGCUAGUACCGCUACUGAUGCUAGUACUGCUACUGAUGCUAGGAUUGUUACUGAUGCUAGUACUGUUGCUUGUACUGCUACUGAUGUUAGUACUGCUACUGAUGCUAGUACAGCUAUGAUGCUAGUAAUGCCUACUGAUGCUAGUAUUGUUACUGAUGCUAGUACUGCUGCUGAUGUUAGUACUGUUGCUUGUACUGCUAUUGAUGCUAGUACUGCUACUGAUGCUAGUACUGCUACUGAUGUUAGUACUGCUGCUGAUGCUAGUACUGCUACUGAUGUUAGUACUGCUGCUGAUGUUAGUACUGCUACUGUUGCUAGUACUGCUACUGAUGCUAGUACUGCUACUGAUGUUAGUACUGCUACUGAUGCUACUGCUACUGAUGCUAGUACUGCUACUGAUGCUAGUACUGCUACUGAUGUUAGUACUGCUGCUGAUGUUAGUACUGAUACUGAUGCUAGUACUGCUACUGAUGCUAGUACUGCUACUGAUGUUAGUACUGUUACUUAUGCUAGUACUAAGAUAUGGUAAAUAGGAGUGGCAAUAUCGUCUGCUAUUAUCCUCAGUAAUUUUCUAUCCAGUGUGUCAGACCCCGGUGGCUUGUUAUUGUUUCUAGACAACAAUAUUUUUUUCAUCUCUUCCACAUUGACUUUACAGAAUUGAAAAUUACAAUUCUUGUCUUUCAUAAUUUGGUCAGAUUUACUUGGAUGUGUAGUGUCAGCGUUUGUUGCUGGCAGGUCAUCCCUAAGUUCGCUUAUCUUGCCAAUGAAACAUCAUUAAAGUAAUUGGCAAUAUCAGUGGGCUUUGUGAUGAAGGAGCCAUCUGAUUCAGUUAAUGUUGGCGCUGAGGUGCUCCAAAGCCUUCUUACUAUCAUUCUUUAUAUACUUUUCUUUGGUUUCAUAGUACAGUGUAUUUUUAUUUAGUUUAGUCACAUGUUUUCUUAAUUUGCAGUACAUUUUCCAAUCAGUUGGGCUGCCAUAACAUGUUUCAAUUCCUCAUCAAUCCAAGGGGAUUUAACAGUUUUUACAGUUAUUUUAUUAAUGGGUCCGUGCUUAUUAGUAACUGGAAUAUGCAAUUUCAUAAAUGUGUCAAGUACAGGGUCUGGUUGCUCCUCAUUACACACCACAAACCAGCAAAUAUUCUUUACAUCAACAACAUAGGAAUCACUACAAAACUUCUUGUAUGACCUCUUAUACACUAUAUUAGGCCCAGCCUUUGGAACAGGGGUGUCCGAUGUGACUACCACUGUAUCCUCUGUCAUAGGGGCGUCUGAGGCUACUACCACUGUAUCCUCUGUCAUAGGGGCGUCUGAGGCUACUACCACUGUAUCCUCUGUCAUAGGGGCAUCUGAGGCUACUACCACUGUAUCCUCUGUCAUAGGGGCGUCUGAGGCUACUACCACUGUAUCCUCUGUCAUAGGGGCAUCUGAGGCUACUACCACUGUAUCCUCUGUCAUAGGGGCGUCCGAGGCUACUACCACUGUAUCCUCUGUCAUAGGGGUGUCCGAGGCUACUACCACUGUAUCCUCUGUCAUAGGGGCGUCUGAGGCUACUACCACUGUAUCCUCUGUCAUAGGGGCAUCUGAGGCUACUACCACUGUAUCCUCUGUCAUAGGGGUGUCCGAGGCCACUACCACUGUAUCCUCUGUCAUAGGGGCGUCCGAGGCUACUACCACUGUAUCCUCUGUCAUAGGGGCGUCUGAGGCUACUACCACUGUAUCCUCUGUCAUAGGGGCAUCUGAGGCUACUACCACUGUAUCCUCUGUCAUAGGGGUGUCCGACGCUACUACCACUGAAUCCUCUGUCAUAGGGGUGUCCGAGGCCACUACCACUGUAUCCUCUGUCAUAGUGGUGUCCGAGGCUACUACCACUGCUGAUGGUUGAUGGGGAGUAUAAAACAAUGUUCCUCUGAGGCUUUAUAUCAUUUCAGACCGUUCUGUCCUCAGUGCAUUACAAUACAUACAGCUCUACAUUCAUAUCUACUUACUGUACAUUAUAUUAACUCAGUGUGCACUAAACAUAUCUAGAUAUACAGUAGGCAUCUACGUGCUGUGGAAACAUCAGACUGAAUAAUAUGCAUGUUAACCAUGUAUAAUCUACAUAAUGUUAACCAUGUUGCAUAAUGUUAACCAUGCUGUAUAAUCUACAUGAUGUUAACCAUGCAGUAUAAUCUACAUGAUGUUAACCAUACAGUAUAAUCUACAUGAUGUUAACCAUGCUGUAUAAUCUACAUGAUGUUAACCAUGCUGUAUAAUCUACAUAAUGUUAACCAUGCUUUUUAAUCUACAUGAUGUUAACCAUACAGUAUAAUCUACAUGAUGUUAACCAUGCUUUUUAAUCUACAUGUUAAUCAUGCUGUAUAAUCUACAUAAUGUUAACCAUGCUGUAUAAUUUAUACUCUGAUAUUGGUUGCCGGAUUCCUGAUAAUGCACUGUUCCAAGUGGUUCAUUCCCUCUCCUCUCUCCUGUAACUAUUCCCCAGGUCAUUGCUGUUCCAAGGGGUUCAUUACCUCUCCUCUCCCCUGUAACUAUUCCCCAGGUCAUUGCUGUUCCAAGUGGUUCAUUCCCUCUCCUCUCCCCUGUAACUAUUCCCCAGGUCAUUGCUGUUCCAAGUGGUUCAUUCCCUCUCCUCUCCCCGGUAACUAUUCCCCAGGUCAUUGCUGUAAAUGAGAAUGUGUUCUCGGGUCAUCUUAACUGCUAAAAUAAUUGUUAGCAUUGUUCCAUCUAAUGACAUGUGAAUGUAGUUCUAGAUAAUAUAACUGUAUCCUGGCCCUAUAUGGUUCAGUUGGUAUAGCAUGGCGCUUGCGCAGCCAUGGUUCAAUUCCCGGGACCACCCAUACAUAAAAUAUAUGCACACGUUACUGUAAAUCACUUUGGAUAAAAGCCUCUGCUAAAUGGCAUAUUAUUGAUAUUAUUAUUAGAUGAUAACUAGUCUGCUCUAUAUCUAUAAUGUAGUCCACUGAGGUCCAUUUCAUAGUUGGCAUCAUCAUUACCUGUGAAACCAUACAGGUUUCUGUCUCUCUCCUUUUCCUCCCUGUUUUGGUCCAUAUGUAUCAACCUUCUCAGAGUAGGAGUACUGUUUUAGGAUCUAUAUUUCCUUUCAGAUCCCACUUAAUAAGAUGUUAUGGACAGGAGGGACCUGAGCACUCCUACUCCUGAGACCUUUGAUAUAAACAAGCCCUGCUCUCUCCGCUGUAAUUAUUUGCUCUGUACAGUGAUGCUUACAGCUUCACCUUCAAACAAAAGACUGAAUGUUUUUGUACUGCUCUGAAAUGUCUUGAUGCUUACUGUUGGCUUUAUGAUCCAAUAAAACAACUAACACAACCUUAUCCUGUGUGUGUAAUUCUUCCCCAUAAAACACCCUUUCUGGGGCUUGAUUCAAUCCGUAACGCUGGAGAUCUGCGUUAUUGCACG